rnacentral:misc_RNA from 1 species
UCUCCGUAGGUGAACCUGCGGAGGGAUCACUACAGGCUUGCAAAAGCUCUGAAACCACUGUUUAUCUACCUGAAUCUCCAUCGGCGGGCGGCCCCAAGGCGGGGCCGUAGCCGCAAGGCGCCCGCCGAAGACCCCUAAACUCUGUCGACUUGAGAAUCUCUGAGUAUGAUAAUAAAAAAAAAACAACUUUCAACAACGGAUCUCUUGGCUCUG